rnacentral:rRNA from 1 species
AGUGUCUGAUGGGUAGUUUAACUGGGGCGGUUGCCUCCCAAAGAGUAGCGGAGGCGUUCAAAGGUUGGCUAGAUACGGAUGGAAAUCGUAUCGGUAGUGAAUACGCAUAAGCCAGCUUGACUGUGAGGCAUACAAGCCGAGCAGGUACGAAAGUAGGAGUAAGUGAUCCGCUGUUAGAACAUUUAUGUUCAUGAAUGUGGUAUCGACAGCGCAAACGGAUAAAAGUUACCCCGGGGAUAACAGGCUUAUAGCGCCCAAUAGUUCACAUAGACGGCGCUGUUUGGCACCUUAAGCAUUGGGGCGCUACAGAAGUAAUUCUGUACCAAAAAUGCGGCUUAUAACGGUGAAACCCGACCAUUCCUUGUGAGAUAAUAAGGGAAUGAGGGCAAUACCGUGGGAAGUCUAACGUCAGCUCAACACGCAAUACUAGUUGGCAGUUUACUGGGCGAUGGUUCGCUUCGGCGGCAAGGCAAUCGCAAGAACGCUUUGUUCGAAGUUAAUCACGCGCACAAACACCGCGACUAUGUAGAUUGGAAGUAUAAAAACUUUCAAAACUACAUCUUAAGUUCACCAAAAGCCCGUCAGGGCAGAGGUGUACGUAUUGCUUAUCGGUUUACGACCCGCAGCUUGCCAAUAUUUACGGCUUACCAUAAUUGGUUUUACGUUGAUGGCAUCAAGCGGAUUCCGAAGGAUCUUACGCUAGAUCCAUUGUCCUUAGCCGUUUGGUUUAUGGAUGAUGGCACCAAGAUUCGUUCGGCGCUCUAUCUAAAUACGCAGCAAUUUACUCUGUUAGAACAACAAUUCUUGCAGGAAUUGUUGCUAGACACAUUUGGACUUGAGAGUGCGUUAAAUCGAGACAAACAUUACUUUAGGAUCAGGCUCAGCACCGAAAGUUCAAAAGCCUUAAGAAGGAUAAUUGAACCGUACGUAGUUGACUGUAUGAAGUAUAAGCUGGCUAAUGACCCCGUAACGACUGAGUCGAAAGACAAGAUUCUGGUAGUUUGAUACGCCAGGAUAACACGCCGCCUCCUAUCAAUAGAAGCCUAUGAAUACGGUUUUAGAACCUACAUUCGGGCGAUAGGAAGAAGAUAUAGUCUACGCCAUACGAGAAUAUGGAUUAAAGUACGAUGUCGGCUCAUCUCAUCCUGGGGCUGGAGCAGGUCCCAAGGGUCCGGCUGUUCGCCGGUUAAAGAGGUACGUGAGCUGGGUUCAGAACGUCGUGAGACAGUUCGGUUUAUAUCCGCUGUGGACGCAAAGAAAUUUGAGAGGAUUUGACCCUAGUACGAGAGGACCGGGUUGAACGCACCGCUGGUGUAUGGAUUGUUCUACCAAGGGCAUUGUCCAGUAGCUAUCGUGCGGAACAGAUAAGCGCUGAAAGCAUAUUAAGCGCGAAACUGACCUCAAGAUUAGAUUUCUCUAUGGAGCCCCCAGGAAGACUACCUGGUUGAUAGGCGCAAGGUGUAAGUGCAGUAAUGCAUUCAGCUGAAGCGUACUAAUAGGGCCAUUGACUUUUUGUG